GAUGUGGUGCAGCACUCGUCAUUGGCUGCUUCUUUCGCCGCUGUCGUGGUCCGGGUGUAGUGGUGCCGCUUUAGCUUGCGCUUUCUGGAUGAACUGAUGAGGUGAUGGUGGUGCUAAGCUGAUGAAUUUAUACAGAUGAGGGGGAAGGAAGAGAAGAGAACAAUGCAGUUUAGGUGCAGCUAUCCUGACAGGUUGGCAAGGGACAGAGCCAUGAGCUCAAAACAUGCAAUAUUAAUGCCGUAAGUGCAAGGGCAGGCAGUGUGAUCUUGAUUAGAUUUCUCUGGGGCCAUCUGUUUGCCACUUGUUGGGGACGAUAUUAGCAGGUCUCUUGUCUUGGGUAUGCUUGGAGACAUCAUAGUAUGCUCCCAUACUCACCUGUUUUAGUGGCAAAGACAAUAGGCAUGCACGAAUUAGGUCCAAUUCUAUUUGUGUUGUGAGGUACUGUGCACACUAAUAAUUAUGAGUUAUU